UAUACUGUGAAACUGCGAAUGGCUCAUUAAAUCAGUUAUCGUUUAUUUGAUAGUACCUUACUACUUGGAUAACCGUGGUAAUUCUAGAGCUAAUACAUGCUAAAAACCUCGACUUCGGAAGGGGUGUAUUUAUUAGAUAAAAAACCAAUGCCCUUCGGGGCUCCUUGGUGAUUCAUAAUAACUUAACGAAUCGCAUGGCCUUGUGCCGGCGAUGGUUCAUUCAAAUUUCUGCCCUAUCAACUUUCGAUGGUAGGAUAGUGGCCUACCAUGGUUUCAACGGGUAACGGGGAAUUAGGGUUCUAUUCCGGAGAGGGAGCCUGAGAAACGGCUACCACAUCCAAGGAAGGCAGCAGGCGCGCAAAUUACCCAAUCCCGACACGGGGAGGUAGUGACAAUAAAUACUGAUACAGGGCUCUUUUGGGUCUUGUAAUUGGAAUGAGUACAAUUUAAAUCCCUUAACGAGGAACAAUUGGAGGGCAAGUCUGGUGCCAGCAGCCGCGGUAAUUCCAGCUCCAAUAGCGUAUAUUAAAGUUGUUGCAGUUAAAAAGCUCGUAGUUGAACCUUGGGCCUGGCUGGCCGGUCCGCCUCACCGCGUGCACUGGUCCGGCCGGGCCUUUCCUUCUGGGGAGCCGCAUGCCCUUCACUGGGUGUGUCGGGGAACCAGGACUUUUACUUUGAAAAAAUUAGAGUGUUCAAAGCAGGCCUAUGCUCGAAUACAUUAGCAUGGAAUAAUAGAAUAGGACGUGUGGUUCUAUUUUGUUGGUUUCUAGGACCGCCGUAAUGAUUAAUAGGGAUAGUCGGGGGCAUCAGUAUUCAAUUGUCAGAGGUGAAAUUCUUGGAUUUAUUGAAGACUAACUACUGCGAAAGCAUUUGCCAAGGAUGUUUUCAUUAAUCAGUGAACGAAAGUUAGGGGAUCGAAGACGAUCAGAUACCGUCGUAGUCUUAACCAUAAACUAUGCCGACUAGGGAUCGGGCGAUGUUAUCUUUUUGACUCGCUCGGCACCUUACGAGAAAUCAAAGUCUUUGGGUUCU
rnacentral:rRNA from 1 species